rnacentral:lncRNA from 1 species
GUUUUCUACACCAUCUCCUUUCUUCAGCACGUUAUGCAUCAUCCUGCAUAAGGAUAUGUUAUUCUUAGGGGCUGGACAAUUCAUUGAUGGAAAAGCAGUUUUUAUUUAGAACUUGGAAAUCAGCAGUUUCUUGCCCUGUAUCAGGGACUUAUUCCACUGACAGUGCUGAUGUACCAUCCAAUGGGUUUCUCCUAAAUAUUUACUGUUCCCCAAAAGGGCUACAUAGAAAAGAGAUAGGAACCUGAUGGGAAUGGUGUUGGAUCUCAUGAAAACCAAUACUGGUGAAGAAAAUCAGUUUCUUAAAUCUGUUGUGCUUAAGUUUUUGAGCGAGCAUAAAACUUCAGCACUCUUAAAGAGGCAGCUGAAGGCCAAGCUGUGCAGCUUUGGGAAGUGAGCAGAGUGUAAGUUGCUGGUUAGACUGGAAAGUUUUUUCAGCUGUAUCUAUAUAGAGAAAGUGGGUAACCCCCUCCUGCCUUUUCCUAGUGUUAAGGAUCCCAUGAAACACUAGAACUAGUGACCUCCAACUUUUAUCUUGUGCAAGAUAAGCAAUGUCAGCAGUACUCUCUGCAUCAGCCACCAGCUCUUCUUCAGUCUGUAGUACAUCUGCAAAGACAGCUGGACACAUCUUAAGAUCCAUGCAGGUGCACCCCACUGUGGUCACAGAACAAAGCAGAAAUGGGAGACUCAAAGAAAAGAACCCAAGAAGCAACAGGAUGGAACUAGGCAAAGAUGGUGUUCUGACAUGGCAGGAAGUCGAGUCUGGAAGAAGACUGGCUGUGUGGCUAUGACUGACAUGGCUUUUUUCACUUAUCUUAGCUCUAG